CUGGUGCCCUCCCAAUAUUUUGGACUACAAGUCCCAUCAGCAUAAUGCUGGCUGGGGCUGAUGGGAGUUGUAGUCCAAAAUAUUGGUAGGGCACCAGA